GUAGUGUAUCGUCACAAACUGGACCUUAUCACGACACCUUAGGGAGGCGACCUAUGGAAUGUUAACAUUAACCUUAACAUGUUAACAUUAAUGGUACGUUCGUUUGAGGGCUAGUUCCGCACUGAGUGCCGCACUCAGAGCUGUCAAAGUGUUUGUUUGAAGAAACUAGCGCUGGUGCCGCACGAGUUUUGCCUCCAUCUUGGAACUGAAAGUGCGAGUGCCGCACUCGAUUUUAUUCUAGUUUCGUGCGAGUUUCUCGCACACCAACAAACGAUGUUUGUAAACAUCGAAAUCAGCUGUUCGUUGUUUUCGAUUUGUUCGCGUGUGAAUGGUGGAAAAUUGGACAAAUUGGAUUGCGGUUAUCAAAAUUCCGAUGCUUUGAUGUCUCCCGAUAACGACCAAGCAAGCAGCAGCGAUUAAUGCGGGAGCAAAGGCCGCGCCUUCAUCAAAUGUCUGCUCCAGGUGGAGCAAAGGCGCGCAUCUGCGGAGUCCUCAUCCUCAUCAGCUAGGUCGACGAAGCCGCGGAAGAGAACUUUGCGCAUGCCUUCAUCAACAACGCGCGGAUAGGCGACUACGUACCAAGCGGAUCGCGCGGGCUGCUGGAGCACACUCUCACCAUAGAUCACUGCAUCGGAGACAUGUGAUACAUGUUUAGGUGAGUCCCAUUUGUUUACUUCGCUGGUAGGAUUUUUGAAGUUUCUUUCGGAAUUCCAGAUUCUUCGAAAAAAAAAACGCAAACGUCUGCUCGAGGCCAAGGACCAGAUGGCCGAAAAGAAGGCUGCCGCCCGUGACGGGUUUGACGGGUUUGAUUUGUACCUGGGUAUGAAUGAUCACGAUAUCCUCCGCAACUUGCAGCGCAAGCUCAAAUCGGUUAUUCAACCGUCGCAAGCAGUACCCUUUGAAACUGGUGCUGUCCCCGAUUCGUGAGUUGGACAAGCAAAUCUUUAAAUAGUCAAAGAAACGUCUUGUAUGCGCGAAAAGGUGGACCUGUACAACAUUCG